rnacentral:rRNA from 1 species
AUUUAGAGGAAGGAGAAGUCGUAACAAGGUUUUCAUGGGUGAACCUAUAGAAGGAUCGUUGUCGAUGACCCCCCCCCAAAAGGAUGACUCGUGAAUCGAUUUGCCAACCUUCGGGCUGGCGGGUGCGGUGCCUCGAGGCCCCUUCCUGCCCAUUCGCCUGUGGCGUUGCCUGUGCCCCACAGGCCCGUCCCUCAGACGAACAAACCAACGCCGAUGUGGAACGCGCCAAGGAAAUGUAACAAUGCAGCACACCCCUGGCAGUUUGGAUAGGUACCCGCCUAGCCAGCGCCUAAGUCACCGGUCGUUCGACCUCCAAAAUGACUCUCGGCAAUGGAUAUCUCGGCUUUUGCAUUGAUGAAAAACGUAGUGAAAUGCGAUACAUGGUGUGAAUUGUAGAAUCCCGUGAACUAUCGAGUCUUUGAACGCAAGUUGCGCCCAAAGCCACUAGGUUGAGGGCAAGUCUGCCUGGGCAUCACGCAAUGUCGCUAGCACCCCAGCUCGGGCAUAGUGGAUGAUGGUCUCCCGCAAGCCUCACCUCCCGGCUGGUCAAAACUGGGCAUUCCCCUUGUUACGAGCGCCGCUAUCCACGAUGGAUGAGUUAGCACAACGCGGUCGAGAACAAACACGCGCGCCGUCACUGGGGCUGGGCCAAUGGAAUAAGGGAUGCCAUGAGGGGUUCCCUCGCCCCUGAAGGCAACCCUAGGUCAGGCGGGGCUACCCGUUGAGUUUA